ACCUAAUCAAACAUGCAAAACAACAACAGCAGCUUGCUUAUUAGCGCCUGCUUGUAGCAAAGCUAGGCGGACGGACGGAGGAGAACAUGCAUAUGGAAGAAGGAUCCAUCGGCUGCUGUGGCCAUGGUGGAAUUGGAUGAGUUUAGUGGAUCUUGCACCCGCAGUUUUCGGGGAGGAAGUCGCGGCACCUGUACUUGGUGGCGCCCUUGCCCGUGGACACGGGGACGCAGUUCUUGCAGGUGGCGGCGCACUUGGUGAGGAGGUCGUCGCAGGUCCACACGCCCGACCAGCUGGUGCACUCGCCGCACCAGCACUGCUUCUUCGGCCCUGCGCGGCAGCAGCAUGAUGCGUACUCGCUUUAUUUCGUCCAAUCAAGCUAGUAGCCAACUAGAUGAAAUCUCGGCAAGCACGACGUACCUGCAGGUCCUUUGGCCACAGCCGCAGAGAGCAGAAGGGCCUGGAGAACUAGGAUCACCAACAGAGUGCUGCUCCUGCUCUUCAUCCUCUACGUACGUACCGCUUGUUGCCGCCGACGACUCUAGUUUUAGUUUUAGGGUGUAAACAAGAAGGCAAGCUUCGAGUUUGUCACUGCUAGUGCUGCUGAGAUGCACAUGUGCUGCUUCACUAGACGAACUCGGUACUCUCUAUAUAGGCCG
rnacentral:misc_RNA from 1 species